rnacentral:rRNA from 1 species
AUUCCAGCUCCAAUAGCGUAUAUUUAAGUUGUUGCAGUUAAAAAGCUCGUAGUUGGAUUUCGGGUUGGCUUCAGCGGUCUCGCUUUGCGUUUGUACUACUGCAGCCUACCUUCUUGUCGGGGACGGGCCUACGGGCUUAAUUGCUUGGGGCCCGGAGUCGACGAUGUUACUUUGAGUAAAUUAGAGUGUUCAAAGCAAGCCUACGCUCUGAAUAUAAUAGCAUGGGAUAACACGACAGGACUCUGGCCUAUCGUGUUGGUCUGUAGGACCGGAGUAAUGAUUAAGAGGGACAGUCGGGGGCAUUCGUAUUCCAUUGUCAGAGGUGAAAUUCUUGGAUUUAUGGAAGACGAACAUCUGCGAAAGCAUUUGUCAAGGAUGUUUUCAUUA